GUCUCGUCAUUCAGUAAGUGUAUUCACUGUCCAUUGUGAGAUUGGAUGUAGGCUAAUCACGGAUGAUAUUGGACAUAUUGGACAUUUCCAAUCACAGCGCUUCUUUUUAUUGUGAGACUGGAUUACUUACUACAGGAGAACAGUGCUCAAGAUCAGCUGACGGCAAUUUUUUAUGCUUUCAUCUGUCAGUAGUGCAAAACAACUAAUCAAAAUGAGCACUAAACCUUAGACCCACAGAGCCAUGGAAGACAGAGAGUGGAGAGCAAGGCUGAGGGCAUUUGCCAGCUAAGGGGUUUGGCCUUCUAGAGGAGUUCUCUAAAUCACAUUUUGGUGGGUCAUAGUCUGCCUAACUGAAGCCCAAUUUCGUGGCAAGGAGCACCCCCUGCCUUGCUCAUUCCUCUCCAGGAUGUGCCAGGUGUUCAGC